AUUGAACGCUGGUGGCAGGCCUAACACAUGCAAGUCGAGCGGAGAGAGGUAGCUUGCUACUGAACUUAGCGGCGGACGGGUGAGUAAUGCUUAGGAAUCUGCCUAUUAGUGGGGGACAACAUUUCGAAAGGAAUGCUAAUACCGUAUACGUCCUACGAGAGAAAGCAGGGGAUCUUCGGACCUUGCGCUAAUAGAUGAGCCUAAGUCGGAUUAGCUAGUUGGUGGGGUAAAGGCCUACCAAGGCGACGAUCUGUAGCGGGUCUGAGAGGAUGAUCCGCCACACUGGGACUGAGACACGGCCCAGACUCCUACGGGAGGCAGCAGUGGGGAAUAUUGGACAAUGGGCGGAAGCCUGAUCCAGCCAUGCCGCGUGUGUGAAGAAGGCCUUAUGGUUGUAAAGCACUUUAAGCGAGGAGGAGGCUACUUUAGUUAAUACCUAGAGAUAGUGGACGUUACUCGCAGAAUAAGCACCGGCUAACUCUGUGCCAGCCGCCGCGGUAA
rnacentral:rRNA from 1 species